GCUCUCUGCUGUGGAACCUGACUGACACUGUGCUUUGCCUGUGUGCAGAAGAAGAACAAGGACCAGAUCUCCAGUCUUCUCUCUCACAUCCCAACCCCCCAACCCCUCUAUCCUCUGUCCUGCUCCACCUGUUGUCUCUGCCUUCUUUCCAUCUGUAUUUCACUCUGUGGUUUGUGAGAAAUUUUGCCAAACCAACAAUCCUUUUGCGGUUUGAUUUAAAGCCGUGUCUCUCCUGCUCUGUCUGUUCUCUCUGCUAAAUUUUCUCUCUACCUGUUUUUCACUCUUGGCUUGCUGCUGAAAAACGCCAAGCCAACAAAGCAAUAAAGAGUGCAUAUUUUGCCUCAACCUAUGAACAAACUGAACAAACAAAGAAAAAUCUGCGGUUUGAUUUAAAGCCGUGUCUCUCCUGCUCUGUCUGUUCUCACUGCUAAAUUUUCUCUCUACCUGUUUUUCACUCUUGGCUUGCUGCUGAAAAACGCCAAGCCAUUAAAGCAAUAAAGAGUGCAUAUAUUGCCUCUACCUGAGAACAAACUGAACAAACAAAGAAAACUAAUUCACGGUUUGAUUGUGAUUUCCCAGCCGUGUCUCUCCUGCUCUGCCUGUUCUCUCUUCUAAAUUUUCUCUCUACCUGUUUUUCACUCUUGGCUUGCUGCU